rnacentral:rRNA from 1 species
CGCGUAGGGCGCAAGCGUUGUCCGGGAUUAUUGGGCGGAAAGAGCUCGUAGGCGGUCUGUUGCGUCCGCUGUGAAAACUCGGGGCUUAACCCCGAGCCUGCAGUGGAUACGGGCAGACUAGAGGUAGGUAGGGGAGAAUGGAAUUCCCGGUGUAGCGGUGAAAUGCGCAGAUAUCGGGAGGAACACCGGUGGCGAAGGCGGUUCUCUGGGCUUUACCUGACGCUGAGGAGCGAAAGCGUGGGGAGCGAACAGG